rnacentral:rRNA from 1 species
CAAUAGCGUAUAUUAAAGUUGUUGCAGUUAAAAAGCUCGUAGUUGGAUUUCUGAUCGAGACAUCAGGUCGGGUCCGAGAGGAUCAUGUACUUUGAUUUUGUUUUGAUCAUCCUUGGGGAGAGCAUUUCUGGCAUUCAGUUGUCGGGAUUGGGAUCCUCAUCGUUUACUGUGAAAAAAUUAGAGUGUUCAAAGCAGGCCUCGGCCUCUGAAUACAUUAGCAUGGAAUAAUAAGAUAGGACUUUGGUGGUCUAUUUUGUUGGUUUGCACGCCAAAGUAAUGAUUAAUAGGGAUAGUUGGGGGUAUUCGUAUUCAAUUGUCAGAGGUGAAAUUCUUGGAUUUAUGGAAGACGAACUACUGCGAAAGCAUUCACCAAGGAUGUUUUCAUUAA